rfam:Xiphophorus maculatus strain JP 163 A Contig936.1, whole genome shotgun sequence.
UAUUUAUCAGUGGCAGGGUUCACUAUAAAUA